rnacentral:rRNA from 1 species
UACGUAGGGUGCGAGCGUUAUUCGGAUUUACUGGGCGUAAAGCGUGCGCAGGCGGCCCGUUAAGUCAGGUGUGAAAUCCCUGGGCUCAACCUAGGAAUUGCGCUUGUGACUGGCGGGCUCGAGUACGGUAGAGGGGGGUGGAAUUCCUGGUGUAGCAGUGAAAUGCGUAGAGAUCAGGAGGAACACCGAUGGCGAAGGCAGCCCCCUGGGCCUGUACUGACGCUCAGGCACGAAAGCGUGGGGAGCAAACAGG